rnacentral:rRNA from 1 species
AUAGCUGGUUCUCCCCGAAAGCUAUUUAGGUAGCGCCUCGGACGAAUACCACAGGGGGGAGAGCACUGUUUCGGCUAGGGGGUCAUCCCGACUUACCAACCCGAUGCAAACUCCGAAUACCUGUGAGUACUAUCCGGGAGACACACGGCGGGGGCUAACGUCCGUCGUGGGGGGGGGAAAAAACCAGACCCCCAGCUAAAGUCCCAAAAUAUUGCUAAAGGGGAAACGAUGGGGGGA